rnacentral:siRNA from 1 species
CUGGUCUUAAUUGGCCGGGU